rnacentral:rRNA from 1 species
AACGAACGCUGGCGGCAUGCCUAACACAUGCAAGUCGAACGAGACCUUCGGGUCUAGUGGCGCACGGGUGCGUAACGCGUGGGAACCUGCCCUUAGGUUCGGAAUAACUCCCCGAAAGGGGUGCUAAUACCGGAUAAUGUCUUCGGACCAAAGAUUUAUCGCCUUUGGAUGGGCCCGCGUUGGAUUAGCUAGUUGGUAGGGUAAAAGCCUACCAAGGCGACGAUCCAUAGCUGGUCUGAGAGGAUGAUCAGCCACACUGGGACUGAGACACGACCCAGACUCCUACGGGAGGCAGCAGUGGGGAAUAUUGGAAAAUGGGCGAAAGCCUGAUCCAGCAAUGCCGCGUGAGUGAUGAAGGCCUUAGGGUUGUAAAGCUCUUUUACCCGGGAUGAUAAUGACAGUACCGGGAGAAUAAGCUCCGGCUAACUCCGUG